UGGGGAAUUUUCCGCAAUGGGCGAAAGCCUGACGGAGCAAGACCGCGUGGGGGAGGAAGGUUCUUGGAUUGUCAACCCCUUUUCUCAGGGAAGAACUCAAUGACGGUACCUGAGGAAAAAGCAUCGGCUAACUCCGUGCCAGCAGCCGCGGUAAUACGGGGGAUGCAAGCGUUAUCCGGAAUGAUUGGGCGUAAAGAGUCCGUAGGUAGUCCUUCAAGUCUGCUGUUAAAGAGCGAGGCUUAACUUCGUAAAGGCAGUGGAAACUGGAGGACUAGAGUGUAGUAGGGGCAGAGGGAAUUCCUGGUGUAGCGGUGAAAUGCGUAGAGAUCAGGAAGAACACCGGUGGCGAAGGCGCUCUGCUGGGCUAUAACUGACACUGAGGGACGAAAGCUAGGGGAGCGAAUGGG
rnacentral:rRNA from 1 species